AACCUCAUAUGCUCAGCUUCUGAGAUGCAGAAAAUCAAUGAUUCGGCAAGCUAUUUAGCAUUUCAGCUCAAUGAUCUACCAACGCCUGAACAGUCAACAGCUAGUCAGGAAAUUGGAAUCCAUGUGAUUCAGAGAAGCAAGGUUUAAAGUUAAGCAUCAACAACUAAGCAAAAUCUCGAAUAAAUAACACCCUGUCGUCUAUGACGCAUCAAAUACAGGAUGACAGGAACGACUUUCAAUCCACAAAUCCCA
rnacentral:lncRNA from 1 species